UACGUAGGGUGCGAGCGUUGUCCGGAAUUACUGGUCGUAACGAGCUCGUAGGUGGUUUGUCGCGUUGUUCGUGAAAACUCACAGCUUAACUGUGGGCGUGCGGGCGAUACGGGCAGACUGGAGUACUGCAGGGGAGACUGGAAUUCCUGGUGUAGCGGUGGAAUGCGCAGAUAUCAGGAGGAACACCGGUGGCGAAGGCGGGUCUCUGGGCAGUAACUGACGCUGAGGAGCGAAAGCGUGGGGAGCGAACAGG
rnacentral:rRNA from 1 species